GAUGAACGCUGGCGGCGUGCCUAAUACAUGCCAGUCGAGCGAACAGACGAGGAGCUUGCUCCUCUGACGUUAGCGGCGGACGGGUGAGUAACACGUGGAUAACCUACCUAUAAGACUGGGAUAACUUCGGGAAACCGGAGCUAAUACCGGAUAAUAUAUUGAACCGCAGGGUUCAAUAGUGAAAGACGGUUUUGCUGUCACUUAUAGAUGGAUCCGCGCCGCAUUAGCGAGUUGGUAAGGUAACGGCUUACCAAGGCAACGAUGCGUAGCCGACCUGAGAGGGUGAUCGGCCACACUGGAACUGAGACACGGUCCAGACUCCUACGGGAGGCAGCAGUAGGGAAUCUUCGGCAAUGGGCGAAAGCCUGACGGAGCAACGCCGCGUGAGUGAUGAAGGUCAUCGGAUCGUAAAACUCUGUUAUUAGGGAAGAACAAAUGUGUAAGGAACUAUGGACGUCUUGACGGUACCUAAUCAGAAAGCCACGGCUAACUACGUG
rnacentral:rRNA from 1 species